rnacentral:siRNA from 1 species
CGGAUAGCUAUCACUCUCUCUAUC